UGGAGGGAAGGUGGGGAUGACGUCAAGUCAUCAUGGCCCUUACGGCCUGGGCUACACACGUGCUACAAUGGUCGGUACAGAGGGUCGCCAAGCCGCGAGGUGGAGCUAAUCUCACAAUACCGAUCGUAGUCCGGAUCGCAGUCUGCAACUCGACUGCGUGAAGUCGGAAUCGCUAGUAAUCGCGAAUCUGAAUGUCGCGGUGAAUACGUUCCCGGGCCUUGUACACACCGCCCAUCACACCAUGGGAGUGGGUUGCACCCGAAGUAG
rnacentral:rRNA from 1 species